AACGGUCUAUACCUGCGGUACCUGCGGAGGGAUCAUUGACAAAUCUAGUGGAAGAGAACAGAGUGUAUGCUCUGUUUUCUCUCCACAAUCUCAUAUCAAACCUGUGAAUUGCGAGAGCAAUCUCGUUGGAGAGGACGUAGGGUUAAGGGGCCGCGUUAGCUUUUGAGCUAAAGUGUGUUCUCUCCCGCGUUCUCUCCUAAACACAUACACGUCUAUAUACAUUGUCUGAACAUAUGUUUA
rnacentral:misc_RNA from 1 species